GACGAACGCUGGCGGCGUGCCUAGUACAUGCAAGUUGAACGAUGAUUUCUGGUACUUGUAUCAGAAUGAAGAGUAGCGAACGGGUGAGUAACGCGUGGGUAACCUACCUCUUAGCGGGGGACAACUAUUGGAAACGAUAGCUAAUACCGCAUAACAAUGCUUAACACAUGUUGAGUAUUUGAAAGUACCAAUUGGUACACUAGGAGAUGGACCCGCGUUGUAUUAGCUAGUUGGUAGUGUAAUGGACUACCAAGGCGAUGAUACAUAGCCGACCUGAGAGGGUGAUCGGCCACAUUGGGACUGAGACACGGCCCAAACUCCUACGGGAGGCAGCAGUAGGGAAUCUUCGGCAAUGGACGAAAGUCUGACCGAGCAACGCCGCGUGAGUGAAGAAGGUUUUCGGAUCGUAAAACUCUGUUGUUAGAGAAGAACGUUGUGUAGAGUGGAAAAUUA
rnacentral:rRNA from 1 species